UUGGUGGGGUGAUGGCCUACCAAGGCGACGACGGGUAGCCGGCCUGAGAGGGUGUCCGGCCACACUGGGACUGAGAUACGGCCCAGACUCCUACGGGAGGCAGCAGUGGGGAAUAUUGCACAAUGGGCGCAAGCCUGAUGCAGCGACGCCGCGUGGGGGAUGACGGCCUUCGGGUUGUAAACCUCUUUCACCAUCGGCGAAGCCGGGAGCUUUUGUUUCUGGUGACGGUAGGUGGAGAAGAAGCACCGGCCAACUACGUGCCAGCAGCCGCGGUAAUACGUAGGGUGCGAGCGUUGUCCGGAAUUACUGGGCGUAAAGAGCUCGUAGGUGGUUUGUCGCGUUGUCCAUGAAAUUCCCUGGCUUAACUGGGGGCGUGCGGGCGAUACGGGCAGACUGGAGUACUGCAGGGGAGACUGGAAUUCCUGGUGUAGCGGUGGAAUGCGCAGAUAUCAGGAGGAACACCGGUGGCGAAGGCGGGUCUCUGGGCAGUAACUGACGCUGAGGAGCGAAAGCGUGGGGAGCGAACAGGAUUAGAUACCCUGGUAGUCCACGCCGUAAACGGUGGGUACUAGGUGUGGGUUUCCCUCCUUGGGAUCCGUGCCGUAGCUAACGCAUUAAGUACCCCGCCUGGGGAGUACGG
rnacentral:rRNA from 1 species